UACGGGGGGGGGCAAGCGUUGUUCGGAAUUACUGGGCGUAAAGGGCUCGUAGGCGGCCAACUAAGUCAGACGUGAAAUCCCUCGGCUUAACCGGGGAACUGCGUCUGAUACUGGAUGCUUGAGUUGGGAGAGGGAUGCGGAAUUCCAGGUGUAGCGGUGAAAUGCGUAGAUAUCUGGAGGAACACCGGUGGCGAAGGCGGCAGCUCGU
rnacentral:rRNA from 1 species